rnacentral:rRNA from 1 species
AAUCUUCGGCAAUGGGCGAAAGCCUGACCGAGCGACGCCGCGUGAAGGAUGAAGGCCCUCGGGUCGUAAACUUCUAAAAGAGGGACGAUAAUGACGGUACCUCUUGAAAAGCACCGGCUAACUCCGUGCCAGCAGCCGCGAUAAUACGGAGGGUGCAAGCGUUAUCCGGAAGCACUGGGCGUAAAGGGCGCGUAGGCGGCCUGUUAAGUCCGAUGUUAAAGACUGGGGCUCAACCCCAGCAUUGCGUUGGAUACUGGCAGGCUUGACGGUUGGAGAGGCGAGUGGAAUUACCAGUGUAGCGGUGAAAUGCGUAGAUACUGGUAGGAACACCCAUUGCGAAGGCAGCUCGCUGGACAACACGUGACGCUGAGGCGCGAAAGUGUGGGGAGCAAACC